rnacentral:rRNA from 1 species
GGCGGCAGGCCUAACACAUGCAAGUCGAGCGGAUGAGAAGAGCUUGCUCUUCGAUUCCACGGCGGACCGGGUGAGUAAUGCCUAGGAAUCUGCCUGGUAGUGGGGGACAACGUUUCGAAAGGAACGCUAAUACCGCAUACGUCCUACGGGAGAAAGCAGGGGACCUUCGGGCCUUGCGCUAUCAGAUGAGCCUAGGUCGGAUUAGCUAGUUGGUGAGGUAAUGGCUCACCAAGGCGACGAUCCGUAACUGGUCUGAGAGGAUGAUCAGUCACACUGGAACUGAGACACGGUCCAGACUCCUACGGGAGGCAGCAGUGGGGAAUAUUGGACAAUGGGCGAAAGCCUGAUCCAGCCAUGCCGCGUGUGUGAAGAAGGUCUUCGGAUUGUAAAGCACUUUAAGUUGGGAGGAAGGGCAGUUUCCUAAUACGAAAUGUUUGACGUA